rnacentral:lncRNA from 1 species
GGAACACGUGGGAGGACACGCCCCCUGGUGGCCGGCCGGAGAGUUGCAGAACAAAGAUUGAGAGAAGUCUGAGGAAUGGCGCAAUUUCCUGAAAGAAAGCAGGUGGAGUUGGCAUCUCUUUCUCGUCACCAAACUGUGAAGUCAGAAAGGGCAGGAGCCGGGUACCUUCUCUCUGAAACGUCAGCAUCCACCACAAAGGAGCCAUGUGGGUUGCCAAGGCCCUACGAGUCUGGCUCUUGGAGACUGGAGUCUGUGAGCUGCUUCUUUCCACUGUGCAUAGCAGGGGACCUGCGGAAGAGCUCCUGGUCACAAAGAAACUCAACAAGAAGCCGGACGUUAACAUCUGUAGGUCAUAUAAGCCAUAGUCAUGAAAGGACAUUGUUUAGAAAGUACUGCAAUAUGCUUUGAGCCAGUUACCUUUCAGCAGCCAAAAGCACAGCAAUAGGAACUCCACUGUGUGUGUGGACUUUAUCAAUAUAUCCAUAUGUACACAUAUAUAAUUUCUUAAUAUAAACACAUUACACUGUG